GUUCAGGGGAAGUUAAGAAAUUUUGGAUUAUCGACUGUGUCGCUUCUCGUUUUUCUCCUAAGUAGCAAAAACAAGAUUACGAAUCUCUAUUGUUAGGUGUUAUUAACUGUAUCUAUGCCGUUCCGCUUCGUGUAUCUUGGUUUAAGGAUUGGAUGAGCUGAAUUAACAAAGAUAUUUGGGGAUUCAGGGAUUAUUUGUUAUUAGACUUGAUUGAGUUAAAUUAGCAGCCCUUGAUAAGCUUAGGAUUAGGCUUCGUGGGUUUAAUUAAUUUUUGACUCUUUAUUGUCAAUUGCUCUAAGGUUAAAUAAGAUGGAUUAUUUUUUAUGCUAUUUACUGUUUAAUAUAUAUAUACACGUGUGUUUGUCUAUUGUAUAAAUAUAAGUUGCUAGUUGAUUCAUGGUAAGUAUCCUCAAGCUAUCCGGUAGUACAUAAAAGUUUCUUGAAUACAAGUCUAUUGGAUGACAGACAUCUCAUGAUGCUCUUUUUCCUGGCUAAAUAAGGUUUCUGAACUCUCGCAAUCCUCAGCAAAGUUUUCUUCUGCUAUAUGAAGAAAUAAAUUCUGUCUGAGUAUCAGCUUGACGAGUUCCGAUUCUACGUGACCAGCCGUGCCUUCCUGAGAAUUAUUUGAAUUGGAUUCGCAGACUAUGAAGACAGAAGCUGUCAAUAAUUUUUAUCGUUUUACCAAAUGGCAUUUAAAACGGACUUUGCUUUUUCGGCGUGGAAGCACAGUGGAAUUUUUUUCAUAUUGGCUUUAUCCUGGUUAGUGGCACACAUGUUACAGUCGAUGGCAACUAAUAAAUAGUACCUCAUAGAUCUGUCUAUCCGGUUCGGUGGUCUGAACCAGACUGAAUCUCCCUCCAGGUUGAUCAAUAAAGUACAGGGCAUGCGCACGUGCCAGGAUUUCAUCUGCUGGUACUGUCUUCCUGGAUACAGGGAGUGAAGAAGGAGGCUUGAGAUGAGAGGAAGGCCGCAGGAGAGGAUGAAGGAAAAAAGAGGACUGUAGCAGCAAUGCAUUUUACACUGAUAGCAGGUUUAUAGAAUUUUUACAGAACCCCAGGUUGUUCCAGGGGAGCGUUGGAUAAGCACACAUAACCAAGAAAUAGUUGGAGAAAGUUUUUAGGGUUGGACGAAUAUGGUGUCUUUGGUUUAUCGCAGACUCUCCAACAGGAUGACGAAUUGUUAUCGUCUCGGGGAAGACUUUCUGGCUGGAGAGAGGUUCGUGGUUUCUAAGAUAAACCAACUGGAUUGUUAGAAACUUUUUAACUGAACAUUUUGCCCGGAGACACUUGUUUCGUUGAGGUUACCAUGUGGGCUGUUUUACGUUAAACCGCUAUUCUACCACGCUUGACUUCUGUGUUAUAUGUUACAUGUGCUGUGUAAGCUUACUAUAGAUUUUCAGGUGGGACGGUGUGCUAUCUUGUCCUGAGUUACGGAUGGCUAUCACGCCAUUUGUAAUUAUUCAACGCAUUAUGAAGAAGGUUACCAAAUUUAAUGUCACCCAGAACAACCGUUAGGUUUGGUCGUUUUAUGUCAUCGUAAAGUAUCACGGACAAGACGAUGGCUGCCACCCGAGAGUGAAGUUCUGGUAGUAAAGCGACUGUCUGUUGCCCUUUUAUUGUCUCAGUAAUUUUCAAUUCGUAUCACGGCUUCUUUAUAUUCCAUGGGGAAACGAUUCGAGUGUGUUUCUGUGCGUAACGCGAUUCCAUAUUUCUGUGUCGAGUACACGGAAUUUAUUUGAUGAAUAUAUCAGUUCGAAGUGCGUAUUGCUUUUACAUAUCGAUUCUGCGAGAUCGGGAUCAUUAAAAGGUUUUAUUUGAAUUCAGCGAGUAAAAUUCGUAUAGAUUUUAAUACUAUUUUUAUAACGAGUAUAGUCCUCGUUUAUGGUGGUCAUUGUGUACCUUUUUUUAAUGAUUUCUUGUAUUAAUUGUAAGAAGUCAAGAAAGAGAUCUCAAGUGACUUUUGAUUAGAGUAUGCUGAUUCGUGUAGGGGAUUAAAUGAGAUAAUUUGAUAUUAAACAUCCAAUUUAUAUCCGUUAUGAUGAACACCCGCUACAUUUUUCAUGUUUAACCUAGCUCACGUGCACUGCACUCGUACUGGCUUUGUACUGGGGUUUUACUUAAUUUCCGGGUUACUUAACGUUAUGGCUAGCAGGCUAUUAUAAAAAGCGGAUAAACUUGGUAUCUAUCCAUGGAUUUACGUCCAUUGUUGUUUAUAGUCAUCGUGAAAUAUUAUACGUCGUUCUGGUUUAUCUUAUAAAGAUUGGAAAGGAUCAGAACACACAUUUUGAGAUUGGAAGAUUGUUUUCCUAUCGAAUUAUGUCGUUCGUAAUUUCCGUUUGUUCAGGUUUCUCGAAAACUUUGUGUACGAUUUCUGUUACCUUGGGGAUUGUUAAAAGCAGCUUGAGGAUUACUCGUGAGGAUUUUGGGAAAGUGUCAAAUAUAUUUGGCUCGUAGACUAUUCAGGGAUUGGAUGGCUUUUAAUGGGGAAUAGAGUCAGGAACAAUAGGUGUGAUAAUAGAGUGGGCUUAUCGCAAUGGUAUAGAUGCGAAAUGAUUGCAUGCAGAUGACACGGGGACAAUGCGUGCAUAUCUCUUGCAAGUGGAUAAUGCAAUUAUGUGAAUUCUAUUGUAAUCGCUGCGACCACGACUUCCGUUGCCGUGAAUUUUCCCAAGUUAUUCUACAUCCAUUACUGGGCUAUUGUUUCCAUUUAUUUCAAUUUUCUGAUGGAAUUAAAGCAUUUUAGGAGAAAUUCAUAUUCUUGAUGACGAAGGUGUCGGAUGAUUUUGCCACGAUUCCAUUUAUGAAAUUUCAGCAGUAAUGGCUACUUGGUGUUAAAGUAUUACCAUGAUAAAUUUGACAGAUGGUAUUAUUAAUUGUAAUCAAAUGGCAUUAGUACAAUUGGGCAAAGCUUCAAUUUUUUUUUUAUUUUUUUAUUUAUAAUCGUUUAUAUCUCGUAGGUGUCACCUGCACGGCUCUCAUUGUAUUUAAAAACGUACAGAUGAAUAUAUUUUUCCCAGAACAAUGGUACUUGUGGCUUUUCCCCUUUUUUUAGAAUUUAUUUCAACGAGCUGAACCGAGUCGUAGUAAAGUAAGAAUUUUUACAGCUGCUUCGCCUGUUUUGGUGCGAUAUGCAAACAAGUGCCGGUCUCCCAUAAAUCUAGGUUUCCCUUUUUUUUUUUCGUUUUUCACUAAAUUUACUGUUUCGCAUAUGACAACGUGCGUUUGGGAGAGUGGCUAUGCUUUAUCCUUAUAAUAUAGAUGGUAUAUCUCUGCUACAUCCUCAAGAGAACCUUAAUGGUUUCAAGCGUAAAAUGAUACAAUAUGUUAUGAAAAAAGGGGAAAAAAUUUAAAAAAUAUAAAAUUCAUAUAAAAAUAUUUAAUAUGAAUCACUCAUACGUCCUGCUUUUUAUAAACAAUUCGUUAAACGUGGCCACUAAAUUUUCAGGAUUGAUUUUUUUUUCUGAAUUCUAAGUAAACUUGACAUGUUCACUCAUAACAUCUAUGAUAAAGUUUCAUUAUAGUUUCUUUGCUUUGUCUAGUUACAAUUUUACGUAUCAUCUUCCCUGAGUGAAGCUGCGUACCCUGGACCUUUUUUGUCUGCUGAAAGGAAUUUCCAAACAAUGCGAUUGGACAGGGCAACGGAUUUUAAUUAUCUGAGAUAAAAGUAUCGACUUUCUUGAUGCUAAAAAGUUACUAUUAAUUCAACUUAUAGAAUCUAAAUACGAUUUUGUAGAAAAUGAACUGGCGAUUCAAUUAAGGAUUAAAGAGAAGCAAUUAAACGUAUAUCCCUAGAAUGCAAUUACAUCAAGAUCGAAUCCACUUAUCUGCUUUAUUGUCUGAAGUUUUAGUAAAAAUUGUUGUUAUUAUUCUCGGCCGUUAUUUCGUCUCUAUAAAAAAAAUCAUGUUUCUUCACUGCGUUAUCAGAGUAUCCAAGAUAAAUGAAUCCUUAUAGAAUUCCCACGACAAAGAAUAUGUCUAAUCUUUCAUUCCAUUAAAAUUUCAUCAUGUAAGCGUUACGGUGUUCGUUCGAAUUAAUUAAAUGAGAGAUUUAACUUACCGACGUAGUAAAUAAUCGAUUUACUCUCUUUUCGCACGAAACGAAUUGUCUCCAUUAAUCCGUCGUAUUCAGCGUUCACCAAUUGAAUAGUAAAGAUAACAAGGGGAUCUGUUGAUUGUGCAAUAAAGAAAAGUCGUCACUAGUCGAAUGUACAGUAGGGUGAAAAUUUUUGUAUUUCAUGAAAAUAAAAUAGCGCCCUUAAUAAAACUAACCUGCUUGGUCUCUUUAGGUGAGAAAAAGGUUGAUUUCUAUGUUGCAAAAAAUUUGAAAUAAACGAAACGUUUAUGCUGGGUUAAUGGAUAUUUUUUUUUUGUAAUUUCAAUCCGAACGAAUAACGUUCUAUAGCUCUCAAUGCGGUCCAGUACUUUCUACUGGGCUUAUGUCGGAACGGAGUAAUCCUACUAAGAAUUGUCGGACAUGUAACGAGGGAUUGAUUCGGUUGUCAAGUUUGGGUAAACUUUCCAGCACGCUCUGUCCGUUCGAGGAUUAAGACUUUGAUAUUGAAGUAACGAAGAAAACGUGAAGAGAAUUGGGAGGAAGGGAGGCUGGAGCUUUAACGUAUAUAUAAUCCUGAUAGGCAUCUUUAUGUUAUGUAACGUGACGUAAGGGUUCGCUCGGUUUAGGAUCAAGCAAAUUGAACGAACUCAAGACAGGGUCAUGGUGAUUUCUUGUCGGUAGAAUCGAGAACUGAUCCGAUCCUGAUAACAGGUACUAGUAUUAUUUUUCAGAGAAGAGUUGAGAUUCUUCAUUUAUUCAGAUCACGUUUCCGCAGCAUCUUUUACCGUGAUGAAAUUUUCGAAUCUGAUUAAAUUCAUUGAAUUAGAUUUAAUUAAAUUUCGCGAUUAUAUUGUCAUUUGGUUUUAUCAUAGGGAAGCACUUUACCCUUCGGAGCUUACGGUGCUUUCUUAGCUUUUGACGAUUCAGUUAUAACGAGCUAUUCGUUGCUUGUUAAUUUCUUUUGCAUUAAUCGGAAUCGAGGAUAUCGAAUAAUUUAUGCGUAUAUUUUGGGACUACAGAAGGUAUUUAUUGGGGGGGUCGGUAUAUUACAGGCAUUGAUGGUAUUUGCCACGUGUACUGCUCGUGACUGUUUUGAAUUACGUGUCUGCUGGUCUACCUGUGAAAAUGGCACGUAUCACAGAAUCUAAAUGGACGUGGAAUCACGUAGGAAACUCUAAAUUGAUUACUCAUGACGAAGAUGGUGGUGAUGGUAGUAUCCUUGAUGUACAAUGCUAGACUAUUCGGGCCUGGUCGAUUGAUAUUUGGUUAAACGCCAAAUGAAAUUGAACACGUUUAUCAGGAAUUUGUGCAAGGUAUUGUUUACAGGUUAUUUCUGCAAUUGGCCCAAAACUGGCAGAAAACUCGAAUAUAACUCACGACUGUGUAUUUUUGGUAAAUACUCUUGUCAAGUCAAUACGUAUUUUCUUGACUGUGUAAAAUUUAAUAUGAACAAUUUUUCUGUUACAUAGAAAUCACCUUGUUAGCCGAGGUUGAAAGUCCAUGAUGAGAUUCAAUACUGCAGAGUUUCCAGGAGCUCGUACCUCUAUAACGAACAAGUGAACCCUUUUAGGGAAAUUUGAAAAGAAAUGAGGCGAGGCAGACGAUUUGAAAUCCCAAUGCGACAUAUACCGAGUGAAACUGCGUCAAAUAAGUGACAGGUGCAUUGAAGUAAAUCAGAAAAUACUUUUGGACAUGAAAAAUGCUAUGAGCUCGCGAUAAGGGAACAAGGCGUAUAAUAAGGAGAUUAAGCGAGAAGGUCAUUUGAUUAUAUGAGAUCGAGCAAGUUUGAAUGCAGUAAUUUCGAUUCUGGAGAAUCGCGAACAGCAGAUGGACGGAUAUUGCGAAAUUGGAAAUUCCAGGAAUAACAUGGUAGCAGAAUUGAACUUCCUUCCGCUCAGCUUUCUCCAGAGAAAAUAUCCAGCAACCGAAUAAGGGGAGCCAGGAUGGAAUUACGUUUGCAAGUGGAAAGCACCAGCAUUUCCUUUUUAUAUUCACAGAUUUUUGCGAGAGUUUCACCCACGGCUGGUUUGCGUCUCUUUAACGUAAGGAUUACACAGAGAAAUUGGAGCGAGCUGUACACGCUCCUUGAGAAACAUUUAUGCAAUGGACUAGCAGCGAGAGAGGUUAUCAAGUAUGCUGGCGACAGAAAUAAACGAGGUUAUGGAUUGUAACGCGUCGCUAGGAUUUUUCAAUGAAGACGAAUAUAAAGAUUGUCUACGUACUACAAUCCAGUUGUCAAACAGAUGUUAUUAUCACAUGUGAGGUAUAAGGAUUCAAUAGAUAUUUUGGAAAAAAUCUAAUUGCUUUUUUAAGCUUUAACUACAAUUUUAGGCAACGUAACCUGAUCGACGUUACCAAAUCCUUGCCUAAAUAGGCAAUUAAUUUUUGAAUGAAGUAUUAGCUGUUGAGUUAACUAGAAAUUUCGAGGGCGGAUUCAUUUUCAAUUACUUGUCAUAUCAAGUAAGAAGGACACUGAACUAGGUUACGAAUGGAGGAUUCUGCUCAUAAGUUAUUCCUGUUUACAAGAGAGGACAAUUGGAGCGAUAGAAAAUUCAUGAAAUACCGCAUUCGAUAGGAGAGUGGCUGGAAACUACGUAUAAACAAUUUGGUGUCAGACUUGCUGUUUUUGAAAGUGCUUCUUGGUUAACUUAUGAAGCAUCAAGUGUUUGCGUGAAAAUAAGGCAAAAUACGUAUAAAGAAAUUAAUGAAAACCGAGAACGAUGAUAACUGACGUUAUCCGUAUUUCUUAAAUAUGUAUGAGUCAAAAUAUUGGACAACAUGUAUUAUCAUGUUGAGAUUACGAAUGAAAGUAAUGACUCAAUUUACACGUAAACAAAAAUUUGCGUUCUUGCAAAAUCCUCGAAAACAAUUCUAUUCCAUAUUUUAUACAGUUUCAAGAAAGUUUUUACGCCCAAGGAGACAAUUCCUGUGCGACGAACUUCGAAUGUUAGAUAACCGAAGGUAUAACCGAUCAAUAGGUAAAACCCUCGGGAGUAUUUUCGAAUCAAUCCCGAAUCUCCACUUUUAGAUUGAUUUACGUUCUAUGCAAUUUCGAUAUGUCGCUGCAAGCACAGUUAACUGCAAAGAGUCAAGUUAACUGCUAUUUGCUAUCAGAUUGAAAUUUUCAAGAGAACUCUGGUUCCAAUUAUCCAAUCCGAAGGUUCAAGCCAGGAGUGAUCGUAUCGCGAUUCUAUUAUCUGCGAAAUUUUCUCAAAUAUUAAACUAUGAAUAAUUCCUUAUCGUAGCAUCGAUUCCGUACCGGUGCAUAUCAGUCAGACUAAAAGAGUGAUAUUUAUUAUUAUUAUUUUUUCACUAUACACCAUGAUUUCUACAAGGAUCUUUCUUAUGCAUAAAAUAAA